UACGUAGGGUGCGAGCGUUGUCCGGAAUUAUUGGGCGUAAAGGGCUCGUAGGCGGUUUGUCGCGUCGGGAGUGAAAACUCAGGGCUUAACCCUGAGCCUGCUCCCGAUACGGGCAGACUAGAGGUAUGCAGGGGAGAACGGAAUUCCUGGUGUAGCGGUGAAAUGCGCAGAUAUCAGGAGGAACACCGGUGGCGAAGGCGGGUCUCUGGGCAGUAACUGACGCUGAGGAGCGAAAGCGUGGGGAGCGAACAGG
rnacentral:rRNA from 1 species